rnacentral:misc_RNA from 1 species
AAAGUCGUAACAAGGUCUCCGUUGGUGAACCAGCGGAGGGAUCAUUACCGAGUUUACAACUCCCAAACCCCUGUGAACCAUACCUAAACGUUGCUUCGGCGGAUGCGCCCCGGUGCCUCUGUGCCUGGGAUCAGGCGCCCGCCGGGGGCCUACAAACACUCUUGUAUUGUUGCAUAAUCUGAGUAUAAAACAAAUAAAUCAAAACUUUCAACAACGGAUCUCUUGGUUCUG